rnacentral:rRNA from 1 species
GAUGAACGCUAGCGGGAGGCCUAACACAUGCAAGCCGAGCGGUAGAGUCUCUUCGGAGACUUGAGAGCGGCGCACGGGUGCGGAACACGUGUGCAACCUGCCUUUAUCUGGGGGAUAGCCUUUCGAAGGGAAGAUUAAUACCCCAUAAUAUACUUGAUGGCAUCAUCUGGUAUUGAAAACUCCGGUGGAUAGUGAUGGGCACGCGCAAGAUUGGAUAGUUGGUGAGGUAACGGCUCACCAAGUCAGCGAUCUUUAGGGGGCCUGAGAGGGUGAUCCCCCACAAUGGAAAGGAGAAACGGACCAGAAUCCUACGGGAGGCAGCAGUGAGGAAUAUUGGACAAUGGGUGAGAGCCUGAUAAAGCCAUCCCGCGUGAAGGACGACGGCCCUAUGGGUUGUAAACUUCUUUUGUAUAGGGAUAAACCUAGAUACGUGUAUCUAGCUGAAGGUACUAUACGAAUAAGCACCGGCUAACUCCGUG